UAAAAAUUUACUUAUCUUAGGUAGUAACAGAUUUCUUGAAACCUAAAGAAUUUGGCGGUAUUUUAAAUAAUUAGAGGAACCUGUUAAGUAAAUGAUAAUCCACAACAUAUCUUACCUUAAUUAAGUUUGUAUACCGUUGUUUUUAGAUUAUAUUUUAAAAUUAUAAUCAAAAUUAAUUAAUUUUUAUAAAUCAAAUCAAGGUGCAGCAUAUUUAGGUUUUUAUGGGUUACAAUAUAUUUAUAUAUACGGAUAAAUUAUGAAAAUAUUUUUGAAGGUGGAUUUAAAAGUAAUUUAAAAUUAAUAUGUUUAAAUGAAUAAAAAUUUAAAAUAUGU
rnacentral:rRNA from 1 species